CAAGUCCCCAAAGGCUCAGUGCAAAUUGAUCCUGAAAUGAAACCACGGACCACCACACACUCCACUGUUGUUCUACCAGGGAGCGUUACUGAUGACUCGGAGGACGUACAGGAACAUCCUUCGUGUGUGAUUGAAAGUGUUGUGGUGAAAGACACACCUGAGGAGCACUUAGAGGGAAGCUCAUGGUUGCACAAGCUUGGAAUGAAUAUAAACAAGUGGUCAUUUCUGAAUUCCUUGACUGGAUGGAGUGAAGACAGAACUCAAGAUAAAGAUCAGUUUACCACAUCUGGAGUUUGUUCUGCUGCUGAUCACAAAGCAACUGAGUUGGAGGAAUGUACAACCAAAAAAGUGCC
rnacentral:lncRNA from 1 species